CAAGUGGAAAUACGAACUGCCCGGAGUAGUGCGGCAUCUCCAGGGUCUCUCGCCUUAUACUCAGUGCGACCUUACCCUAAACAUUUAGGAUCGAGGUAUUUCCCAAACCUGUGCCCGUGCCCUGGUUUCUGGUGCCACCCUGUGGUCCAGCGAAAUGCAGGCCCUCGGGUCUUCAAUAAGGCUGAAUAACGAUGGAGUUGUCGAGAUAGAACUGAGGUGUGUGUAGGUAAAUCAUUCCCGAGUGUGUUCCCAGUAGAUCGAGAUGGGAGUCAGGCUCUUCUCCCAGGGAACAAGUGACAGGAUGAGAAGAAAUGGCUUCCAAUUGUGCCACGAGAAGUUCAGAUUGGAUACUGGGGAAAAAUUCUUUAUUGAAAGAGUGGUCAGACAUUGGAACCUGCUGCCCAGGACAGUGGUGGAGUCACUGCUAUUGGAAGAGUUCAAAAGGCAUGUGGAUGUGGCACUUGGGGACAUGGUUUAGUGAACACAAUGGAGAUGGGUUAAUGAAGGCCUAAGAGGGAUUUUCCGACUGUAAUUUUUCUAUAAUUAGAAACGAAGGAGCACUGAAUAGAUCAUAUGGGUGGGUGAAAGCCUCAGGUGGGGCUGGUCAGGGCCACUAAGAUAUGGACUUCAGAAGUACCUCCCAAAAGUCUUCACACCUGGAAUUGGCAGAUUCUCCUUAUACAGCACCUCCUGGUGCCCUUGAACAAAACUUGAAGCAGCAGUUCAGGCAGACCACACCAGCUGUAUUGACUGUGCCUCCCUACGAGGACCGGGAUUUUCUUUGAGAUCCCUCUUCAGAUACGAUCUGAAGUGAAGUAAGUGAUUGCUGGAUACAAGCCAGCCCCUGAACAUGCUGGCUGAGAUGGCCCUGUGGUGGACCUGAGCAUACCCAUAGAGACCUGAAUGGCCCUGACCAGCCUCACCUGAGAGCCCCAUCCCACCCUCUCGAAGUCCCCUUCCCACUCAGCCCAGUGCCCUUCUCCCUGCCUCACUUACAGGAAGGUGCCUGUCUCCAGCUGUGCCUUCUCAGCUUUGCUCUGGGUGGACCUUGUUUGUCAAGUAGCUUGUCCCUUAGGCAGCACCUUACAAUGUGUAUUACAUGCCACCAACCUUAUUCUAAUUGAACAAUUAAUUUUUAAUUACAUCUUUUAAAGUUUUGUUCCAUAUAGAUACUUUUUCAUAUAAAAGCUAUUAAAGAGUAACAUGCCAAGUACUGUCUGCCCCUUCUUACACAAGACCAAGCAUUGUUCUAGCUCUUCAUAACACCUUUGAGCUUGCCUGGGCUACCAAGAGCUAGAGAGGAAGGAAGAAGGGUAAGUGUGGACUUGUGCAGGCACUAUAAACAGAAAAAUCAAUACUUCUGCUUACAUUUUUGGGUAUAAUGUAAACUAGAUGAGCUGUUGAACAGAGGUAGAAAGAGAUGAAUUUCCUGCCACAUGACUGUAAAUCAUUGCACUGGCUCUCCCACCCAGGAAGCUGCUUUUAGGCUGUCUGGUGUGGCUGGUCCCCACAGUCCUUGCUGUUGUCUACAUGGAUUAGAUGCUGGAGCAUAUCCAGAGAAGGGAAACAGCUGGAAAAGGGUUUGCAGCAUAAGAUCCUGAGGAGUGGCUAAGGGAGCUGUAAAGAGUUAGCCUGGAAAAAAGGAGGUUCAGUUCUCCCAGAAAGUGUUCGUUUCUAUUUUUCUGUAGGAAGACACUGAAGAAAAGUGGUGCUGUUGGCAAUGAUGUGCAGAACUAUACACUGAGGUGUUGAGCAUCCAAUGUAGCAAUAACCACCAUGAGACUCAUUUGAUUGUUGAGGGCUGUCCCAGUUGAUGGAUUGUUUCCACCAAGCACCAGGAAGGGCCAAUAAGGAUCAGGUGACAGGCCAUGAAGAACCUGGGGCUGGUCCUGAGCAGACACCUCUGCCUUCUGUUGCAGUAGUCAUGGAAACAGUGGGGUACAAGCAUAACUAUGCCAUCCCUGCAUCCCCAGGCCUCAUCACUUGUUCAGAUCUACUGGGCCAGUGCGGCUGAUUUUCCAUGACUUUCCAGUUUCAUGCAGAGAGCAAAGCUGCCCCAGCAGCUCCUGGCUGGAGCCUGUACUCCUGCAGGUGCUGCCUGCAGCUCUGCUUUGCUGGGAUGGAUCUCUCCUGCUGGAUCCAUUUGUCCAGCAUCUCUCCAGGCUACAAAGAUGAUGACUCCUCACCUUCAGUCACAGCCAGGAUAUGAAGCAGCAUGCUACUCCAUCCAGAAAGCUCCCUGCAUGCUGUGCAUUGGCUCACACCAGCUGCUCAAAGAAUUACUGAAAAAGGCUGCUCCUCCCCAUAAGACAGAGACUGUAAUGCUGAGAGCAGGGGGCAAAGAUGUUCUCCACAAACUUCAUUGCUUUGUAUCUUGACCCAUGGUUCACUUGUGUCUUUCUGGGGCUUUCAUGGAAGCAGAAGAAUUGAAAGGAGCACUCUUGUUUCACUGGCAUGCUGAAAACACCUUCCACACCAUCACUGUAUGUGACAGCCACAGCUGGUCUGUAGCUGCACAGAAAAAUUGGCCAUAACAGACACCAAUUCGACCAGCCUAGCUAAUUAGAAAUCGAGGUAAACAAAUCCCCAGGUAUGAUAACGAUAGGUCGGAUUCAAACAGAGGACCCCAGCCAAUCCCAUUGAAUAUCAUUGGCCAGUGAACUGGGUGGAGCUAAGGCCCCAACCAAUCACAUAUGUAAGCACAGGAAAUUUGAAGUCCCUAUAAAAGGGGAUGCUCAGCAAUAAACCUCAGCUGUUGCUGUAUGAA